UACGUAGGGUGCAAGCGUUGUCCGGAAUUAUUGGGCGUAAAGAGCUCGUAGGCGGUCUGUCACGUCGGCUGUGAAAACCCGAGGCUCAACCUCGGGCCUGCAGUCGAUACGGGCAGACUAGAGUUCGGUAGGGGAGACUGGAAUUCCUGGUGUAGCGGUGAAAUGCGCAGAUAUCAGGAGGAACACCGGUGGCGAAGGCGGGUCUCUGGGCCGUUACUGACGCUGAGGAGCGAAAGCAUGGGGAGCGAACAGG
rnacentral:rRNA from 1 species